CAAAGAGUAGUUUAAUAAAAAUAUUAAUUUUGGAGAUUAAAGAUAUUAAAAUUUUAAUUUCUUUGA
rnacentral:tRNA from 1 species